GAUUGAUGUUUUAAGCUAAUUAAGUAGUAAGAAGUUGCCACUUUUGCUUUACUGUAUCUCAGUUUGUUUGUAACUGUUUUGCAUACUGAAAGUUUAAUAUUUUAAUCAGCCAAGAUGUGACUAGUAGACUAAUCCCAUUCUCAGUUUCAAUCACGUGCUUGUGAGUUUAUUCAAAAUUGCUGUUAAUUAUAAGUUCUGAAAAGAUCUAUGAAAAUACAUCUAGAAACUUUUCCUUCGAUGACAGUCUUUGUCACCCCACUUUCUCCUAUUUGAGGCCAGAAUCAAGUAUAACUUGUUUUCUGGACUGUCAGCAGUCAAUUAGACUGAGGCUGAUGAAGAUAAAGUAAUUCUCCAACACUAGUAACUCUAACUCCAGUAAAUACAUCAGGUACAGAGACAGAGUCAUCCUUAAGGGACUGAAUUUACUAGUUAUAUAUAGUUGCAUUCCUAAAUUCUUGGUCUACUCUAGGGGGAAAAAUAGAAACUAACAAUAAAAAUGAAGGGAGGUGUUGAUGUGCCCGUUUAGUCACAACGUGACACCUUUUUUGUUGUUCGAAACAUGAUAGCCAUAAGAUCUUUUAUUUUACUGACAAAAAGAGUAGCAAAUAAUAAAGUGUAAUUAGUGAAAAUAUAAUACAAUUUACCUCAGGAAAUGGGAGCCCAAAAAUAACAAAAUAAUCUGCCAACUAAUUUUAGAAGAAAUUAACUUAUAUAGUAAAAUAAAAAUCCACAAAACAAGAGAAAGUGUUUAACACUUGUGGUGUACCUGGUCAGAUAUGACAGGCCUGCAAAAAAUUGCUUAUAAAUAUUUUGUUAUGCUACCUUAUCAAUAAAUAAUGGAUUCAA